AUUGAACGCUGGCGGCAUGCCUUACACAUGCAAGUCGAACGGCAGCACGGGAGCAAUCCUGGUGGCGAGUGGCGAACGGGUGAGUAAUAUAUCGGAACGUGCCCAGUCGUGGGGAUAACGUAGCGAAAGCUACGCUAAUACCGCAUACGAUCUAUGGAUGAAAGCGGGGGAUCGCAAGACCUCGCGCGAUUGGAGCGGCCGAUAUCAGAUUAGGUAGUUGGUGAGGUAAAGGACUCACCAAGCCGACGAUCUGUAGCUGGUCUGAGAGGACGACCAGCCACACUCGGGACUGAGACACGGCCCAGACUCCUACGGAGGCAGCAGUGGGGAAUUUUGGACAAUGGGCGCAAGCCUGAUCCAGCAAUGCCGCGUGCAGGAUGAAGGCC
rnacentral:rRNA from 1 species